UGCAUGUACCGUAUGAAUAAGCAUCGGCUAAUUCCGUGCCAGCAGCCGCGGUAAUACGGAAGAUGCGAGCGUUAUCCGGAUUUAUUGGGUUUAAAGGGAGCGUAGGCGGGUCUUUAAGUCAGUGGUCAAAGCGUGUGGCUCAACCAUACCACGCCAUUGAUACUGGAGACCUUGAGUGCACAUAAGGAUGGUGGAAUGCGUAGAUAUAUGGAAGAACACCAGUGGCGAAGGCGGCUGCCUGGUCUGUAACUGACGCUGAGACUCGAAAGCAUGGGUAGCGAACAGGAUUAGAUACCCUG
rnacentral:rRNA from 1 species